rnacentral:rRNA from 1 species
GACGUAGGGCGCGAGCGUUGUCCGGAUUUAUUGGGCGUAAAGAGCUCGUAGGCGGCUCGUUGCGUCGGCUGUGAAAACCCGCAGCUCAACUGUGGGCUUGCAGCUGAUACGGGCGGGCUUGGAUUCGGUAGGGGAGACUGGAAUUCCUGGUGUAGCGGUGAAAUGCGCAGAUAUCAGGAGGAACACCGGUGGCGAAGGCGGGUCUCUGGGCCGAUAUCGACGCUGAGGAGCGAAAGCUAGGGGAGCAAACGGG